UGAGCAAUCUGCCCUUCACAUCGGAAUAACCAUUGGAAACGAUGGCUAAUACCGAAUAUGACUUCGGAUCGCAUGAUCUGAAGUGGAAAGCUCCGGCGGUGAAGGAUGAGCUCGCGGCCUAUCAGCUUGUUGGUGAGGUAAUAGCUCACCAAGGCGAUGACGGGUAGCCGGCCUGAGAGGGUGACCGGCCACACUGGGACUGAGACACGGCGACUCCG
rnacentral:rRNA from 1 species